rnacentral:rRNA from 1 species
AGUGAACGCUGGCGGUAGGCCUAACACAUGCAAGUCGAACGGCAGCACAGUAAGAGCUUGCUCUUACGGGUGGCGAGUGGCGGACGGGUGAGGAAUACAUCGGAAUCUACUUUUUCGUGGGGGAUAACGUAGGGAAACUUACGCUAAUACCGCAUACGACCUACGGGUGAAAGCAGGGGAUCUUCGGACCUUGCGCGAUUGAAUGAGCCGAUGUCGGAUUAGCUAGUUGGCGGGGUAAAGGCCCACCAAGGCGACGAUCCGUAGCUGGUCUGAGAGGAUGAUCAGCCACACUGGAACUGAGACACGGUCCAGGCUCCUACGGGAGGCAGCAGUGGGGAAUAUUGGACAAUGGGCGCAAGCCUGAUCCAGCCAUACCGCGUGGGUGAAGAAGGCCUUCGGGUUGUAAAGCCCUUUUGUUGGGAAAGAAACGCAGCAGGUUAAUACCCCGCUGUUCUGACGGUACCCAAAGAAUAAGCACCGGCUAACUUCGUG